AGAAUAAAUAACGAACGCUCCCGAACUUCCAGGUUCCUCCAGGCAUAAAUGCAACGUGUACUCAAAUUUUAGAAUAAAAUUAAGUUCAAAUUGUGUGACUGUCCUCCCAGAAAUUACUUAAAGAAGAAUCUGAAUGUAGCGUUAAACUGCUGUCUUGUUGUAAACAUGACUUACGUUUUUAUUUCAGUUUAUACACCUGAGCAAUUGAGAGUUAAGAGCCUUGCUCAAGGGCCUUGCAGCGGCAACUUGGUGGACUGGGAUUCGAACCAAUGACCUUCCGAUCACCUUAACCACUGAGCUACCACAUCGCUGUUACUAGGGACCCAUGUGGCUAUAAACACAUUUCAUUAAACACAGCGAAAUUCAUUUGUACGGACAUCGCUUCCUCGGAGGACAUGAGACAGCAUCCAUGAAGCAGAGAGGACUGAGGUUUGCCCAAGGGCCCAACACUGAUCAGUAACAAAGAGCCUUAACCCAUACAGGCUAGGAGACGUUUCUGAAGAAGAGUGUCCGUUGGACGAAUGCGGUGGGCUAGGUGCUUUGCGCUUUGGGGCGGUACGCUCCACUGACCCUGGAUCAGACACUGUAUGAAGUUAAAACUCAAGACGGU